UACGUGAGGGGGCUAGCGUUGUCCGGAAUUAUUGGGCGUAAAGAGCUCGUAGGUGGCUUGUCACGUCGGGAUGUGAAAGCUUGGGGCUUAACUCCAGGUCUGCAUUCGAUACGGGCUGGCUAGAGGUAGGUAGGGGAGAACGGAAUUCCUGGUGUAGCGGUGGAAUGCGCAGAUAUCAGGAGGAACACCAACGGCGAAGGCAGCUCGCUGGGACGGUACUGACACUGAGGCGACGAAAGCGUGGGGAGCGAACAGG
rnacentral:rRNA from 1 species